rnacentral:rRNA from 1 species
AGAGUUUGAUCCUGGCUCAGGACGAACGCUGGCGGCGUGCUUAACACAUGCAAGUCGAACGGAAAGGCCCUUCGGGGUACUCGAGUGGCGAACGGGUGAGUAACACGUGGGUGAUCUGCCCUGCACUUUGGGAUAAGCCUGGGAAACUGGGUCUAAUACCGGAUAGGACUACGGCCUGCAUGGGUUGUGGUGGAAAGCUUUUGCGGUGUGGGAUGGGCCCGCGGCCUAUCAGCUUGUUGGUGGGGUGAUGGCCUACCAAGGCGACGACGGGUAGCCGGCCUGAGAGGGUGGCCGGCCACACUGGGACUGAGAUACGGCCCAGACUCCUACGGGAGGCAGCAGUGGGGAAUAUUGCACAAUGGGCGCAAGCCUGAUGCAGCGACGCCGCGUGGGGGAUGACGGCCUUCGGGUUGUAAACCUCUUUCAGUAGGGACGAAGCGUAAGUGACGGUACCUAUAGAAGAAGCACCGGCCAACUACGUGCCAGCAGCCGCGGUAAUACGUAGGGUGCGAGCGUUGUCCGGAAUUACUGGGCGUAAAGAGCUCGUAGGUGGUUUGUCGCGUUGUUCGUGAAAACUCACAGCUUAACUGUGGGCGUGCGGGCGAUACGGGCAGACUAGAGUACUGCAGGGGAGACUGGAAUUCCUGGUGUAGCGGUGGAAUGCGCAGAUAUCAGGAGGAACACCGGUGGCGAAGGCGGGUCUCUGGGCAGUAACUGACGCUGAGGAGCGAAAGCGUGGGGAGCGAACAGGAUUAGAUACCCUGGUAGUCCACGCCGUAAACGGUGGGUACUAGGUGUGGGUUUCCUUCCUUGGGAUCCGUGCCGUAGCUAACGCAUUAAGUACCCCGCCUGGGGAGUACGGCCGCAAGGCUAAAACUCAAAGGAAUUGACGGGGGCCCGCACAAGCGGCGGAGCAUGUGGAUUAAUUCGAUGCAACGCGAAGAACCUUACCUGGGUUUGACAUGCACAGGACGCCGGCAGAGAUGUCGGUUCCCUUGUGGCCUGUGUGCAGGUGGUGCAUGGCUGUCGUCAGCUCGUGUCGUGAGAUGUUGGGUUAAGUCCCGCAACGAGCGCAACCCUUGUCUCAUGUUGCCAGCACGUUAUGGUGGGGACUCGUGAGAGACUGCCGGGGUCAACUCGGAGGAAGGUGGGGAUGACGUCAAGUCAUCAUGCCCCUUAUGUCCAGGGCUUCACACAUGCUACAAUGGCCGGUACAAAGGGCUGCGAUGCCGUAAGGUGGAGCGAAUCCUUGAAAGCCGGUCUCAGUUCGGAUCGGGGUCUGCAACUCGACCCCGUGAAGUCGGAGUCGCUAGUAAUCGCAGAUCAGCAACGCUGCGGUGAAUACGUUCCCGGGCCUUGUACACACCGCCCGUCACGUCAUGAAAGUCGGUAACACCCGAAGCCGGUGGCCUAACCCCUUGUGGGAGGGAGCUGUCGAAGGUGGGAUCGGCGAUUGGGACGAAGUCGUAACAAGGUAGCCGUA